rnacentral:lncRNA from 1 species
CUUAAAUUUCCUUCCAGCCCUAACAGUUCUCGGAUCCAGCCUGGGAACUCUCCUUCCUUCCCCUUGUUACAACAGCCCCUCCAUCCAAGCAGGUCCUCCCGCUGUCCGAGGGCCUAAAUGCGUUCCUCGGGCCUGGCGCUGCCUCCUCACUCCGCAGAGAGCACAGCCUCGGGCCCCUGGCAGGGGGGCAUCUGCCGGGGCAGCAGCGGCGGGAGGGGCCCCAACCCCGCGGGGAGGAGCGCUCAGCUAAGGCCCGAGUGACGACUGUUCGGGCAGAACCGGCAGAUCAAUCUGGCCCGUCUGGUUCUGAAGAAAGAGGCAUUGAGAGGGCAGCCGAGUCACGCAGCCAUCCUGCAGGAAGGAAGGGCCGCCAAUGUCCCCUUUCCGGGCCUGAGGAGGUCACGGCGCAUCCCGCAGCGGGCUCUGGACCCCCAAGGAGGCGGCAGAACUUGGGGAAAGCCAGAACGACGAGAUCCCGAGAUGGACGGAGCCGCAGACACGGGCCCGGACGCACCUGCGGCGCGAGGAGGGCAGGGGCCGCUCAGACCCCCGUCGCCCCCGUUCCCCCCACGGGCGCCCUCGCCCCCGCCGCCGCUGUCCCCGGGCUCCAUCCUCGGAGCGCCCCCUUCGCCGGGGCCGUCGGAGCAAGGGGCCCGCCAGCUGCUGCUGGCAGGUGGGGGGACUCCCGGGGCGGGCUGGCGCCCCGGGUUCAGCGGGCUGCUUUCCCAGUGGAGGCCUCCCGCAAACCUGCUGCGAUCCCCGAACCCCGAGGGUGCGAGGGGGGGGG